UACGGAGGGUGCAAGCGUUAUCCGGAUUCACUGGGUUUAAAGGGUGCGUAGGUGGGCAGGUAAGUCAGUGGUGAAAUCUCCGGGCUUAACCCGGAACUGCCGUUGAUACUAUUUGUCUUGAAUAUUGUGGAGUAAGCGGAAUAUGUCAUGUAGCGGUGAAAUGCUUAGAUAUGACAUAGAACACCAAUUGCGAAGGCAGCUUACUACACAACGAUUGACGCUGAGGCACGAAAGCGUGGGGAUCAAACAGGG
rnacentral:rRNA from 1 species